AAGUAGGUUUCAUAUUUAAUGAUACUGAAGAUAAAAGUUUUAUCUUUUAAACUAAAGAUUUUUAGAUUUGAUAGAAUACAAGUAUUGCGAAAGAAAGGUUAAAAGAACUUAAGAGAUUUAAAUGACUCUGAAAUUUAAUGCGUAAUACAGUUAAAGUUUAUUAUUUUAACGUACCUUUUGCAUAAUGGACUAGCGAGUUUAUAAAAUUAGCAAGUAAUUUAUUUUAAAUAAAAUUGCGAACUUUAAAGAUUUAAAGCUAAUUUUAUAAGACCCGAAGCUAAGUGAUCUAAUUAUGAUUAAGUUAAGGAUUUUUAAAUCCAAGGACUGAACCUGUAAAUGUUGCAAAAUUUUAGGAUAAAUUGUAAUUAGGGGUGAAAGGCUUAUCAAACUUAGUUAUAGCUGGUUUUCCACGAAACCUAUUUAAGUAGGGUGCUAUUUAUUUAUAUAUAUAGGUUUAUAUAACUAUAUUUAAGAUUCUGAUUAUCUUAAAAUUAGUAUAUAAUAAUUAUAUAUAUAUUAAAAUAACAAUCAGACUAUUAGCGCUAAGGUUUUUAGUCAAGAGAGAAACAGCUCAGAUUAUUUAUUAAGGUCUAUAAAAAUACUUAAUUUAGAAGAUGAUUUUACAAAUUUUGUUAAUUAGAUGUAGGCUUGGAAGCAGCCAUCAUUUUAAAAAAGCGUAAAAGCUUAAAAUUAUAAAAACUUUUGUUUGUAAUUAGUUUAUGUAAAAAUUAUCAUUAAUAUAAUCAGAAUAAUUAGUAUUUACCGAAGUAAUAAAUUUAAUUGUGGUAGUGGAAUAUUUUGUAUAUUUAAUUAAAAUUGUGAAAUUUUAAAUUAUAUCAAUAUAAAUAAUGCUAGUAUGAGUAAUAGACAUAGUUAGAGAAACACUAUCGCUGAAUGUAUAAUAGGUUUACUAAAUAUGAUAAUCUUAUUUAGUGUUAAUCGAUCUCUAGAUUUUAAAUGUAUAAUUUAAAUGAUGAGGAAAUUAUUAAAAAUAUUAAAUAUAAAUAUAAAUUUAUUUUAUUUUUUUUAUAAAUUUUAUUUAUAUUUAACUGGAAAUAUUUAAUAUUUUAUAUCGUACUAACUCUAACACAAGUUUACUAGUUGAAUAUACUAAAGCGAAGAAGUUAAAAAUACUGAAGGAACUAGGCAAAUUUAAUCUGUAACUUCGGGAUAAAGAAUUAUGAUAUAAAGAGAGAGUAGCGACUGUUUAAUAAAAACAUAAGAUUUUGCUAAAUCGAAAGAUGAUGUAUAAAAUCUGACACCUGCCCGGUGCUGCAAGAUAAAAAAAAAUUGGUUAUAAGCUGAUUUUAUAAAUCCCAGUAAACGGCGGCCAUAACCCUGAUGGUCCUAAGGUAGCAAAAUUCCUUGUCGGGUAAGUUCCGUCCUGCAUGAAUGGUGUAACGACUGCUCUGCUGUCUCCAGUAUUUGCUUUAUGAAAUUGAAUUUGUCGUGAAGAUGCGAUAAUUUUACAGUUAGACGGGAAGACCCUAUGCACCUUUACUAUAAUCAAUAAUUAAUAUUAAUUUUAAUUUAACUAGAUAAGUAGUAAGUUUUACUGAAAAUGGAAAACUACUUGAAUUAUUUUUAAUAUUUGAAAUAAAUAAAAUAAAUUUAAUUAUAAAUUAUUAUUGAGUGUUAGUUUGACUGGGGCGGUCUCCUCCUAAAAAGUAACGGAGGAGUAUAAUAACCAGAAGUAAUUUAUUAAAUUAAAUUGAUUAUUAAAAUGAAUUUUUUUGGUUUGAUUAAAAUAUAAACAUAUAUUUUAAGGAUAUAGUCUAUCAUAUUGACCCGAUAAUUUUUUAUAAGUAAAAUAUCGAUCAACGAAUAAAAGGUACGCUAGGGAUAACAGGCUUAUAAGUUUUGAGAGUUCUUAUUGAUAAACUUGUUUGGCACCUCGAUGUCGGCUCAUCACAUCCUGGGGGUGGAUAAUCUCCCAAGGGUUUGACUGUUCGUCAAUUAAAGUGGUACGUGAGCUGGGUUUAAAACGUCGCGAGACAGUUUGGUCCCUAUCUUCUGAAAAUAAAAGAAAAAAUAUAGGAAUUGAGAUUUAGUACGAGAGGACUGAUGACAACUAAUCAAUUAUUUAAGAAUUAUCCUCAAUAAAGGGUAUGGUUUUUAAGUUACAUUAGAAUAAUUAAUUACUGAAUACUAUAUAAGUAAGAAAUUAUACUAUAUAUUUUUCUAAUAAAAUUUUAUAAGAUAAAUUUAUUCAUAUUUAAAUUAUAUUAUAAUAUAUAAUUAUAUAAAAUUUUAAUAAUAAACUACUAUAUAGUAUUAU
rnacentral:rRNA from 1 species